UGUGAGAGGGAGGUGAGAAAGAUGUCUAGGACAGAGAAAGGGAGGUUGCAGUAUUCCACAUUCCAGUGCAAGCACGAGGAGGCGCAGGAGAGGGAGACACUUAAGUCAAACACGUACCACAUUCAUAUCUACUGACACGCCAGCACUGAUUUCAAGGAGAAUAUAUCCAUACCGCAUACAGGAAGAAAAUCAACACCAUGUCAAAAAUUACACGCAAGUGAGGAAACACAUCAAAUCUAAAUCACAAGGAAAUCUCAUUCCCAGUAAGUGGCCUAUGAAACAAACUUCAAUAAUCUGCUGAAAGAAGCCUCUUCUCAUAUUUUAUGGGAAUAGAGAGAAAAGAGAGACUUCAAGAUAAUUAGGGAGAGAAGAGUUCUUACAUAUCAAGAAAAAUCUUCAAGACUGAAAUGGCACUUCUCACAGCGUUCAUAUGAACUGCAUAAAGGGGCCUCUUUCCUGAGAAAACACGUUAAAUGAAGAUUCAUCAGCUUCAAAAUAUAGACAAGAUGUAUUUAAGUAAUGGAGGGAAAGGCUUGAUGGCUCUCCAAUCUAAAGUGUGUCCAAUAUAUGUAUUUUUUAAUUAUGGGAUAAUAAAAUAUU